rnacentral:lncRNA from 1 species
UGACAGAGGAAUGUCAUGGGAAAAUGGCUCCGGCAACAAAGUACGGGAGACUCUUCCGCUGCUCAAGUAAUCACCAUCAUCAACGGCUGAGCUUUCACCUUAAACUUACAGCCUGAUUCAGAAGUUUUUACAAAUUUGUAAAUUAUAAAAAGCUUCAUAAUAAUCUCAACCUUUUUAUCUUCCUCGCGCCAAUGUGGAAAUUAAGGUUAAAAAUAAAAUAAAACAGAAGCUCAUGCGAAAGAAUUGUAAAACUAAGAUAAAGCUAUAGUAGAUCUUUAUUGUACCUUCGUAGACGAUAUAAGAUUUAUUCGUGUGUUUGUCUUUUUGUCUGCAAGUACGGAUUGGAUUUAAAGUUUUACUUUCUUCAGCGUGAAGAACCCUAGACAUAGAGCUUCUUAAUUCUUUUGGUUUUACUUAUUUAGUUGUUAGUUAUUUGAUUACUUGCACGUGACGUGGCAUAGUGAUUUUUUCCUUUUCCAAGUUUAUCAGUUCUACUUUUGAGGAACUCAAAAGACUAUUCUUCCAGAAAGAAAGAAUAUGGCAGAAAAAUACUUGUCUUGGCUGUGCUUCCAGCUUCGGCCCAUUGAGGCCCAUCAGAAGUUGUUUUCAUUUUUUGUUUCAUUUGCAGCUGUUACUGUCUUACUGAUAAGUAAAUUAGUAAUAUAAUAUAUUUCUGUUUAACUUGGUUCGAAUUUUUGGGUUUUGGAAAACAUAUUAAUAUCGGAUUGGUUUGGCUUUGGAUUCAUCUUCGAGUUUUGAAUGUUUGAAUUUUAAUUUUGCGGGUUAUUUGUUUCCAAUCAAAACAAGUUUAUCGGUCAGUUUUAGGGUCAGAACCAAAAUUAAAAUAAGCCUAGGAUCCUGAGAAUGACAAGUCACGAGCGGAAUAUCGUCAUAUGAUAUAAGACUAACAAAAACAUAUUGAAGCUCUCUGAUCUUUCCUCUAGAUUCGUAAGAGAUAGACAGAUUGAAAGUUUGAAACAUACAAACACAGAACGAUUGACGACAGCCAAGAACAAGUAUUAGACUUACCAGUGAUACUAAUUGUAUCCAAAAUGGAUAACCUUAACUUAUUAGUUCUUAAUACAUCAAAACAUGUGAAACAAACAAUAUAAAACUGCCGGGAAGAAGGAGUAAAACUCGCUUAAAACCAAUUUCUGUUCGGUAGGGAUGAUCAUCGGACCGGUCUAAACCGACUGGAUUAAAAGUUUCAUUUUAACAACACUCCCCCUAAGGAAUUUCAACAAGCGUAAAACUAAAAUAAAUAACUAUUACAUGCCUCUUCCUCGCUUCAAAACGGCACCGUUUCCACUUGUUAUUAUUUUUCUCUCUAUCGUCUAACAAAAAAAAAAACUGACUUGGGAUUUUUUUUCAUUUGUCUAGCCCAAAAGAAGAAGAUAGAAACGAAGAAAAAAAGCAAACACAUUUUGGGUCCCCGGUGGUUAGGAUCAAAUUAGGGCACAAACCUUAUCGGAGAAAGAAGCCAUGGGAAGAAGAAAAGUCGAGAUCAAGCGAAUCGAGAACAAAAGCAGUCGACAAGUCACUUUCUCCAAACGACGCAAAGGUCUCAUCGAAAAAGCUCGACAACUUUCAAUUCUCUGUGAAUCUUCCAUCGCUGUUGUCGCCGUCUCCGGUUCCGGAAAACUCUACGACUCUGCCUCCGGUGACAAGUAAGCUUCUUUCCUCUUCUGGGUCUCACUCGAGUUUUGUGCUUCUUCUUUUUUUAAUCUUAUAUAAUAACUUCAAAUCUAGGGCUUUUUGCUUCCUUCAAAUCAACUGAGAUCUCCUCCUUUUUUUUCUGUGUGAAUAGAGCCUAUGCGUUACCACAAACCUAAUUUGAGAAUUGAGAUUAAACUUUGAGGUGGCCAAGAUAUGUUCUUGGUGUUCGUUUCGUGCUUUUUUUUUUCGAAAAUAAGGAUUUUUAUUUUAUAUCUUACCUUUAAUUCUUACAAAAUUUAAUAUUGCAUGCGAUUCAAGAAUUUUUUCUACACGUGUUGAUACAUUCUCAAUGCUGUUCAAGUACUUUUUCUGUCGCUAAUUCAUCUGUUGUUCACUUUCAAGAUUCUUUUUUUUUUUUUUUUUUUUUUUAAGAAACAGUGUGUCUAUUUGUUAAAUUUUGAGAUUUGGUUUGUAUCCAAUGUUGCAAUGCACCUCCCGUGGAUUUGUUGAUAGAGUAAUUGGGGUUAAUGGUAACAUUUACCAAGAGUCUUUCGUUUAAAUUACAUUGUGGAAUUACUGAUCCCGAAUGUAUUGUAGUCUAGACUACACUGAUUGUUUUUAAUUUCUCUCCAAUGGAUUUGCCGAUUAAGUACAUUAAAGGUCUAUAGAUGAUUUUGAAGGUUGAUUGUAACGCUUGGAUAAUUUUCCACAUUGAUGCAUCCCCACAUGCUACAUUACUUAUCUAAUCGGACAUAGAUUUUUACCCUUUUCGGUGUGUACCAUACACAGUAUAACUAGAUUAAUGAGCUCAAGAUGUUGUGCCCCUUUUUCUGUUCUUGCAAUGAAUUCAGUAUGGGAUUCUUUGGUAAAGAAACUCAAAAUUUUAACUAAGUCUACGGCCACCUUAUAUAUGUAACAGUAGCGUAGUUGAUUUUUUAAGUAGAUAUCUAUCGUCGAUUUCGACCGAUAGGGUGAAACUAGUAGACUGUUAUCAUUUCUUCAACUUUGGUUGUGGAUAUUCCUAACCACAUGACCUUUUGCCAUUCGUCUAUCUAGAAGAAAGCUUAACUACUUCUACUUCUCUUUUAGAACAUUUCUAAAGUGAGUACACUGAACCAAACGAAAUUAACCUACAUUGACAAAUUAAUAUUGACAGUGUUUUUUAUAUAAUACUUACAAAACAUCGUCAACUGGAUAAGAAAAAUAUGUCAUCUCGAAAAUGGAAAUGUAAUAUAUAGCUUCUUCUCAUUGCCUUUUGAUGUUAACACCAAAAAAGCUUGAUCAUGAAAGUGUUAAACUUAUAACAAAGUACUUUGACUUGAGUCACUGUUUAGGUUUUCUUCUUCUGGUGAUUAAUGUUAAACUUAAUAUGUCACUAUAUUAACGUAUAAAGUGAAGUCUAAGGCAGCUUAUAUUCAUAUUAUUGCAUCAACAUAUCAGUGGACAACACCAAUUAGGAUAAGAGUUGUGACCUUCCCAGAAACCAUACCCAUUUUCUUGGCUUGUCCUCUAAGGAUAAUCCUGAUAUCAUAUAGUUUUCAAUCCGCUGCUGAUUCGGUCGACUCUAUGUGUGAAUGCUUUGAUACUAGGUUGAACUUGGAUUGGAUAGUCAUAAUCAUAAUUACAUAUUUAUAUGCCUUAAUUGAUAUGAAAUUGAAAGAGAAUACGAAAUUGAAUGGAAAAGUAAAACAAAAGUUGUCUUUGCAAAAAAUAGAGUGACAAAAAAGGAAAAUAACUGUAAACACAUCUACAGUGGUUUUAUUUUAAGCUACACACUCUUAACAUUUUCUAAUAUGUAGGCGCAUGCUUCAGUAAAGUUGAUUAACAAAAAAGUAUUAAUUGAUGCAAUAUGUUAUAAGCAUUCUUUCACUCUAUAAAUUCCUCCAACCGAUAUAUACUGUAUCCAAUUCAUAGUUUUGUGUAUAUUAUUGUUUCUAAUGAAAUUUUUGUUUUGUUCAUGAUAUCUCCAGCAUGUCAAAGAUCAUUGAUCGUUAUGAAAUACAUCAUGCUGAUGAACUUAAAGCCUUAGUAAGUUAGCUACGAACAUCAUCAAAAUUCUCUGGAAUGCAGUUUUUGAUGAUAUUAUGGGAUAGAAUUACUGGUCGAGCCUGAGAUAACUCAAUGAUUUGAAUUUCUUAAACUGGACUUAAUUUUCUUAAGUAACAGUUGUUGCAUUUUUAGAAAAAACUCAAGAACUUUCACAAUCUUUCUGACCAUUGCCUUCGUUUUAUCCAUGUUCAGGAUCUUGCAGAAAAAAUUCGGAAUUAUCUUCCACACAAGGAGUUACUAGAAAUAGUCCAAAGGUUAGCACUAAGACACCUUUUAUCUCCCUCUUCUUCUGAUAAAACAUACUUCUUUUUCUUUUGGCGACUUAUGAAUACAGCAAGCUUGAAGAAUCAAAUGUCGAUAAUGUAAGUGUAGAUUCUCUAAUAUCUAUGGAGGAACAGCUCGAGACUGCUCUGUCAGUAAUUAGAGCUAAGAAGGUAUUUCUACUAAGUGAUCAAACCAAUUAUCCCAAAAUCUUUUGAUUAGUUAGAUUAAAAAGAAUAGUCUUCUGACAUAAUCCGUAAUGUCUUGUUCUAGACAGAACUAAUGAUGGAGGAUAUGAAGUCACUUCAAGAAAGGGUACGUUUAGUGCUUAAUUUGGUUUUUAAUUGCUAUCAAAGCCAUAUUGUAGGGUAAUGCUGAUUCUUGAAUACUUUUAACCUCCGAUUCUGCAGAUCUGGCCUUUAACCAAGUUUAACUCUAGAUAUUUCUUUUGGUCUUGUCUUAGUUCCUUAUUUGUUCUUGGCUUUAUUUUAGAUGAAACCCUAAUUUGAACAACAAAAAUAAAGCAUUUAUAAACUCGUGAUCAUGGUCAGAUAGCUUUAGAACUUGUUGGAAACUAAUGACCUUUUGAUCGUGUCCAAACAGGAGAAGUUGCUGAUAGAAGAGAACCAGAUUCUGGCUAGCCAGGUGACAAAAACAUCUCUUAUGAUUCUUCGAGCUAAUUCAUCAUUACACUUGCGUCAAAACAUAUAUAUAAAAAUUGAAGGAGUUUGAUGGAAGCUAGGCAUUUUUUUUUUGUGAAAAUACAAAUAUCUUGUUACUAUUUAGUUGGAGCUGUAGAAAAAGAAAUUUGAAGGACUUCAAUGAAUGCAACACAGUUUUGAGUGAAACUCACAAUUUAGUUUUAAGCAAAAGAAAAGUAUACUCUUAAAAAUCUAGAUUUCUUGUUAAUUUUUGUUAGCUGUAGGAAAAUAAUGUAAGAAAGUUUCUUACAGGUGGGGAAGAAGACGUUUCUGGUUAUAGAAGGUGACAGAGGAAUGUCACGGGAAAAUGGCUCCGGCAACAAAGUACCGGAGACUCUUUCGCUGCUCAAGUAAUCACCAUCAUCAACGGCUGAGCUUUCACCAUAAACUUACUCACAGCCUGAUUCAGAAGCUUUUACAAAAUUGUAAAUUAUAAAAAGCUGCAUAAUAAUCUCAACCUUUUUAUCUUCCUCGCGCCAAUGUGGAAAUAAAGGUAAAACAAAACGAAGCUCUUUUCUUUUAUGCGAAAGAAUUGUAAAACUAAGAUAAAGCUACC